rfam:Flavobacterium succinicans strain DD5b FLB_contig000017, whole genome shotgun sequence.
UCCUAGCCCUGAUGGGAGCGGCAUCCUGUGGCUCUGGGGUUCAGAGCCACAGAUAUAGCGGACAGCAGGAUUAAGC